GUAAAAUAUCUAAUUAAGAGGAAGUACGUAGGUACUAGAUAAACAUAAUUGCAUUUCAUGUUUUACGAGUACAAUGAGCAUGGCUGCCAUGAAUUAUUAUAUGUUAGGUUUAAUAUGUGCGGCGAUAAAUACGCUAAAUGAUACUGAAUUUCGAAAACACUAUGGUCUCAGUUUUCAUAACCAAUGCGGUAAUUACAUUGUGACCUUUAAGUGUAUGACUGUUUGCAAGAGUAUUGGAUAUCAAGUAUUUAGAUUGAAUAGUUUCUGCAAGUGUUCCUGUCAUGAAAUGAAAACGAGUACAAUACUGCCGUUUUUCAAGUGGCAGACAAAUGGAACUACCAAGGUUUUGCCAAAAACUGCUAGCCCGGGGCUUUACCAUAUUGUAGGGACCUUGUCACCUCCUCCCGGAGACAGCGAGGAGAUCAGUACUACUAUAAAUGAUACGGAAAGUGAAACAA